GGAGACGUGGCCGAGAGGCCGAAGGCACCUCACUGCUAACGAGGCAGGGGAUAAAACCCCUCGUGGGUUCGAAUCCCACCGUCUCCG
rnacentral:tRNA from 1 species